GGAGAGAUGGUUGAGCGGACCAAAGCAGCGGAUUGCUAAUCCGUAGUAUGGAUUAUCCGUACUGAGGGCUUGAAUCCCUCUCUCUCCA
rnacentral:tRNA from 1 species